AUAAAGAUCGAGCCAAAAGUGGUCAAGCUAAUCAGAGCUGACGGUGGAUACCUAGGCACACAGAGGCG
rnacentral:rRNA from 1 species